CACGUAGGGCGCAAGCGUUGUCCGGAAUUAUUGGGCGUAAAGAGCUUGUAGGCGGUCUGUUGCGUCCGCUGUGAAAACUCGGGGCUUAACCCCGAGCCUGCAGUGGAUACGGGCAGACUAGAGGUAGGUAGGGGAGAAUGGAAUUCCCGGUGUAGCGGUGAAAUGCGCAGAUAUCGGGAGGAACACCGGUGGCGAAGGCGGUUCUCUGGGCCUUACCUGACGCUGAGGAGCGAAAGCAUGGGGAGCGAACAGG
rnacentral:rRNA from 1 species